rnacentral:rRNA from 1 species
AACGAACGCUGGCGGUAUGCUUAACACAUGCAAGUCGAACGAACAAAAUUGGGGCUUGCUCCAAUUUUAGUGAGUGGCAAACGGGUGAGUAACACGUGGGAAUCUACCUAUCAGUACGGAAUAACAUUUGGAAACAGAUGCUAAUACCGUAUAUUCUCCAAGGAGGAAAGAUUUAUCGCCUAAGGAUUAGCCCGCGUUAGAUUAGCUAGUUGGUGAGGUAAAAGCUCACCAAGGCGACGAUCUAUAGCUGGUCUGAGAGGAUGAUCAGCCACACUGGAACUGAGACACGGUCCAGACUCCUACGGGAGGCAGCAGUGAGGAAUAUUGGACAAUAGGCGAAAGCCUGAUCCAGCCAUGCCGCGUGAAUGCUGAAGGCCUUCGGGUUGAAAAGUUCUUUUAGAUGUGAAGAUAAUGACGGUAGCAUCAGAAAAAGCCCCGGCUAAAUUCGUGCCAGCCGCCGCAGUAA